rnacentral:rRNA from 1 species
UGGGGAAUCUUCCGCAAUGGGCGAAAGCCUGACGGAGCAAUGCCGCGUGAGUGAAGAAGGCCUUCGGUUGUAAAACUACUGUCCUUAUCGAAGAGAGGUAGGUAUGUGAAUAAUGUACCUAUAGGACGGUAGAUAAGGAGGAAGCCCGGCUAACUACGUGCC